rnacentral:rRNA from 1 species
AUUGAACGCUGGCGGAAUGCUUUACACAUGCAAGUCGAACGGCAGCACGGACUUCGGUCUGGUGGCGAGUGGCGAACGGGUGAGUAAUACAUCGGAACGUGCCCAGUCGUGGGGGAUAACGUAGCGAAAGCUACGCUAAUACCGCAUACGAUCUAAGGAUGAAAGCGGGGGGUCGCAAGACCUCGCGCGAUUGGAGCGGCCGAUGGCAGAUUAGGUAGUUGGUAGGGUAAAGGCCUACCAAGCCGACGAUCUGUAGCUGGUCUGAGAGGAUGAUCAGCCACACUGGGACUGAGACACGGCCCAGACUCCUACGGGAGGCAGCAGUAGGGAAUUUUGGACAAUGGGCGCAAGCCUGAUCCAGCCAUUCCGCGUGCAGGAUGAAGGCCUUCGGGUUGUAAACUGCUUUUGUACAGAACGAAAAGGCUCUGGUUAAUACCCGGGGCUCAUGACGGUACUGUAAGAAUAAGCACCGGCUAACUACGUGCCAGCCGCCGCAGUAA